AUUGCCUCCAAAUCAAUCAACGCCCUCAAAACUAUCCUAAUCGGGUUGGAAACCAGGGGGUUGUGAUCCAAAUAAAAAAGAAGAUAUGAAAAUUCCUCAAUUUUUAAAUCAUUUUUAUGUCCUCAUUUACAUUUCAAAAUUUGAAUUUUAGAGCAGAAUCCAAAUGAGGAGGGAGAUCAUGACAUUCAAAUAAGGCUCCAA
rnacentral:lncRNA from 1 species